UUUAUUUUCCUUUGACAUUUACCCCCUUUUUAAAAUCUUUUGGAGAAAGCAUUUUAGAAGAAAAAGAGUUUUUUUUUGUUCCAGAUUUGCCUCAUGGCUAGGAUGGUUUUUUCCUAGACAGGUAGGUCUCACGUUAUCAGGAAAGGUCAUUUUUAGUAGGUUGUGAAUUCUUACAUUCUACAAAGAAAAAACAGGAGGAAGAAGGGAGAAAAACAACAACAACAAAAAUAUGAAGAGCAAUCCUGAAAAAUCAAUAUAGGCCAUCUUACUCUGAAGUUCAUACAUCAGUAGGCAGGUAUGCAAGUGGUUUAUAUAUGUAAAUAGGUUGCUGCCAUUUCAUUUUCUUCUGAAGUUUACCUUUUCUCGCUUCAGUUUGCAGGGCUUAAAGAAAGCACAGGUUAAUUUUUGGUGAUUUCAAAUCAGGAAAAGUUGGGAGGGGGAAGGAAAGAAAAUAAAAUUGUAACUAUUAUUUUGAAGACUUGUAGCCAGGAAAAAUUUUAGAAUUCAGUCCAUGCUGUAGAAAAUAAUAAAAAUUCAAAAACAUGAGGCAAGACUAGAAUCUAACAACAGGUGUACUGUAGUGCAAAAGAAAAAUAAAUCGUGGGACCCCCAAAUCACUGAGCUAAAGGGAAAGUCAAGCUAGAAACUGUUUAGGGCAAACCUGCCUCCCAUUCUAUUCAGUCAUCCUUCUGCUCACUGAGGUAAAUGCAUAUCUGAUUGCCUCUGUUGGAAAAGCUUAUGAGAAACUCAAAAGAAUUCAACCUUUGUCUCUUAUCUACCUAUGACCUGGAAGCCCACUCCUCAAUUCUAGUCAUCCCACCUUUUUUGGACCUAACCAAUGUUCAUCUUUCAUAUAUUGAUUUAAUUCUCAUGUCUCCCUAAAAUGUAUAAAACCAAACUGUUCCCUGACUACCUGGGCACAUGUCUUCAGGACCUCCUGAGGCUGUGUUACGGCACAUGUUCUCACUUGGCAAAAUAAGCUUUCUAAAUUUGCUGAGAUCAGUCUCAGAUAUUUGGGGUCCACAGUUUGGUAACCAUUAAGGGAUUCUUAGUGGAGGUGCCCUGACAUUGACAAAACUCCUAUUGGUGUCCGGUACCAGCUUGAGCUAUCCUUAAGGCUCAAACUAAUAGAACAUUUUGCUGAGGUCUGGAAGCCACCUUCCCCCUCCCCCCCCAACUUCCCCCGUGCUUCCAGAGAAUCCCUGAUCUUCAAUAAUUUGGUUAAAGUCUAAAGUGUAUUUUGCUGUACAGCUCCCUUUUUUUGGAGUUUUACUUGCUUCCAAUAAGGAAGGCAAGUUUUCCUGUUUCCAUGAUGAUGAAAGGCAGGUAACUCCUUUCUGGAGCUUGAGCUUGUUUCCAACGGGAGAAAAGUUUAAGUUUUUUCCUGCUUCUAGGAUGGUAGAGAACAGUCUUCAGCCUGAGAUCCAUCCCUAGGUAUGUAGCUGAAUUGGGGUAUUUUUCUUGGCUAAAGUUAAGACUAACAACAAGCUGGUCUUAAUUUCUCCUUAACAUUAGAGCACUCAGUAAUCAGAUAAAUUGGGAGAUCAUUUGUUUUGCUUAAUGGUUUCUUGUUGUUCUUUGUUUGUUUCUGUAUUUGUUGUUGAUUUGGUCUUUUUCCCAUUGGGUUUGACCAACUCUAUCCGACUUGAUCAAAUCCAAAGGAAAGUUCCAAAUUAUGGAGAACAAGGCCUCUGAAGUGGCUAAAUUUCCACACACAAAAAAUAAAAAUAAAAAAGAUGGGGAAUGGGUUGGGAGAAAAACAGCAAACAACAAAAACGAUUUUUUAUUUUGACUACUUAACCGGCUUUAUUUACAUAAUAAGCCCAUCUUUUUGCUAGACAAACCAAACUGAAAGAGCAAUGGCUGUCACCCCAUGCUGCAGUUUCAUAGCUGAGGUUCUACUUUCUUUCUUAUUUUCCCUAUGACAGCCUGAGUUUGCUUCCUAAAUCAAGACCUUUGUGUUUUGAUACUUGUUACCUCUGAAAUAUCAACAAUCUGUCCUAGCUAAAAUGUGGUAAUGAUGUCAGAGGUGUUUAAACCAGAGCAACUCCAUCUAAAAUGGGGGAUGGGUAAAAUACGACUGAGACCUACUGGGCUGAAUUCCCAGGAGGUUAGGCAUUCUAAGUCACAGGAUGAUCUAGUACGUCAGCACAAGAUACAGGUUAUAAAGUCUUCCUUUGCUGAUAAAACAGGUUGCAGCAAAAAAAGCCGGCCAAAACCCACCAAAGCCAAUUUGGGGAUGAAAGUGACCUCUGGUUGUCCUCACUGCUCAUUAUAUGCUAAUUAUAAUACAUUAGCACGCUAAAAGCCACGCCCAACAGCACCAUGACAGUUUACCAAUGUCAUGACAAUGUCAGGAAGUCACUCUAUAUGGUCUAAAAAGGGGAGGAACCCUCAGUUCCUAGAAGCACACAUCCCUUUCCCAGAAAACUCAUGAAUAAUCCAGCCCACGUUUAACAUAUAAUCGAGAAAUAACUAGAAGUAUCCUUAAUGGAGCAGUGCAAGCCACUGCUCUGCCUAUGGAGUAGCCAUUCUUUUAUUCCCUCACUUUCUUAAUAAAUUUGUGUUUACUUUAUGGACUUGCCUUGAUUUCUUUCUUGUGUGAGAUCCAAGAACCCUCCCUUGGGGUCUGGAUUCAGACUCCUUUCUGGUAACAUCUUUCUGGCAAACCACUAAGGGAUUAUACUGAAAUGACCCCCGACCCAAAGGAAAAUCUUCUGUGUGCAGCACCACUUGGCCAACUUUGGGUAAGUGAGGCGCAUUUAACUCGGUAAAGAAUGGAAUUGGGUUAGAGACCCAACUUAGAAAAGUUAGAGUCUGCCCUAAGAUAGAGAGGGUUAAAGACCCCCUCUUAAUAAAAGGCAAGGGUGCUUGACUGAACCUGUUUGGGGCCCAACUUAGGAAGGUUAGAGCCCUUCCUAAGAUUUAUGGGGUUGGAGGCCCCUCUCAGUAAAGUUCCUCUCGGCUAAAAGUGGGUUUGGCACUACUGGAUGUUAACUGCUAUUUUCUUUGGACUUAUCUGCCUUGCACUCUUUGCUGAUGGCUAUGGGAGACAGAAUUAAACAUAUUCAGGAUCAAAGGACAUGGCGAGCUAUUUUUCCCCAAAAGGGAGACACUCGAGAGCUGAUGGGACUUCUGGAUAAGAUCCCUUUGUGACUGAAAAGCAGCUGCUUGAACUUUUGAUUAAGUCUAACUGCAGUGGGUGGGUCUUUCUCUGGCCUCCCUGAGUUCCUCACCUUCCCCACCCUGCUUCAGGCAAUGCUUUUCUCCCUUUCUCUUCUUUCCCUGUCCUAUCUUUUCUGUCAUUCAGGGGAACCUUCUUGCCCAGAGAUCGCAUGUUGAAAAAUGUCCUUGGGAGCUUUGUCUUGGUCUCUGCCAUAUCUUGUAUACAUGUGGUGGUACUUUCUCUUGGUCUCUGCCAUCCAGGGAAGAGGAAUUUGGGGGUACAUGUCAUAGUUAUCUCUGAAAAUUAAAUUGAGCCAUUAAAAGCCAAUGCAAUCUCAAAAUUGACUGCUCUAGUCUCCUGGGAAGAGCAAUAAAAUAUUUUCAAUUCUACAGCUUAGCAGCUAAGGCUUUGUGUUUUUCCAGUGGUGGCACAGGUUCAGGGUUCAAUUCCUGGCUUAGGGAAUAAGCCCUUUCUGGUUUGAUAUCUGCAUGACAUUUACCAUUUGUUGAUUAUCUUCCCCUCCACAAACCAUGUUGAAUUUUUCUUUCUUUGAGGACAGAAAUAUUGGCCAUUUGGCCUGGCUAAAUUUGGGUAAUAAGAAAUUUAAAAGGAUCUUUUUAAAAAGAGUAUUACAUUUAAAAGUCAGCCUAAUUAAAAGAGGAUAUUCAAGCUCUAAAAGCCUGGGACUCCUUGUGAACAACAAGUAGUGCCACAGACCUUGUUUUGGGAAAAAACUCUUUUUUUUUUUGUUUGUUUUUUCUCAUGAAACCCCAGGAACCAGAAGUGGAGAGAUCCCUUCAAAAUCUAAGGCUCUUUUCUCUUUUGCAUUGCAUUAUCAGGUGUUUUUAACCCUUGGGGGGAUCAGAAAUUGCUCCACAUUAAAAUAGAACUUUGGUGUGUAAUAACUGGGUAGGAAAUAUGCUUUGGGGAAUAGCUAAUGACAGUUAAAGGUGAAUACUUGGCUUUUCACAUGUUUGGAUCAGAGGAGCAUGCUCUUGGCCACCUAGAAGGUAUGGCAACGUGCUCAUCCCUGCCCCACACUGAGACCUAAGAAGACUCCCAUGGAAGAUGGGGUAAUCACAGAGUAGGUUGAGUGGCUUUGAAUUGCUUUGCAGUGAAAUGCACAGUAAAAUCAUUGCACUGUCUUGUUCUGUAGCAUUUGUCUUUUUUGGGAUUUAAGAUAUGAUAUAAAGUGGGACCCUUAAAUUUUGGGGGAUCUUUUUUGCUUUCCAGCUGUGCCUGUUUAUUAAGCCAUAGAAACUGCAUGUUUUCCUGGCCCUGUUCCUCCAAGGGCUCCACCCUGAAGCAGUAAUCUGAUUAAGAACCUGGCAAAUAAAAAAUCUUAAAACUACUGGAACAUUUCUGUCUAUGUAUUUAUAUGUGUUGUGUGUGUGUGAUAUGAAAGAGCUUUGAUUGUUUUCGAAAAUCAUAAGAGCUUAAAUCUAACAUUCUAUCAGAAAAUAAAAACAAACGAAUGCCUUUUAGUUCAUGUGACUUUAGUAAAGUUUCAGAAAUAAAAACAGUUUUGAAGAUCAUUGGUAAAAUUCAAAUGUCUUCAAAAUUCAGACAUUUGGUCUGAAGUAGGUUAAAUAUUAAGUUUGCUAGAUGUGUUAGGGUCAUAAACGGCUUCUUUGAUUUUUGAAAAUUGUUCAACCUACUUACUUUGAAGCAGAUUCUAGGUAAAGCCUGGGGAUAUGUGGUGUUAGCCAUGCCUCCUAGUUAUGCUGGAUAGUCAAACCUUAUCUGCACUUCUUUCUGUGUCCUAGGCUCCAAAGGUAGUACAUAGUUAAAAUCACCUACAAUCCAGGUUUUUCCACCAAUGGUUCCUAAGAGUUCUUUCUUUAGGCUGUAUUUGUGAAUAUAUGUUUUUGGUAGGUGUUCCAAAAUUAUUAGAAACUUCUGUAACCCUGAUAUAACUUAGUGUAUGCUAUUAAUAGUUAUAAUAAUUGUUAUGUAAAAUUGUUGUAUGCCACAGAAGUCACCAAAAUUCUUAGUCAAUUGUGGCUUUAAUAGAGACUGCCCUAAAGUGUUUUGUCAUCCAGGGACAAUUGUUGCCUUGUUUUUUUUUGUUUUGUUUUGUUUUUGUUUUUCUUUAGAGGUGGUUUCAUAAUCAGCUACAGAACCCUAAUAGGUGUUCUUAAAUGCAGGUUUCUGAUAAAUUUGGAGAUUGUGAUGUUAGAAUAGAAGAAAAAACUUUCAGGAUCUCCUGGAGUGCUGAAAUGUUCACGAAUAUCAGGCAGAACAGGAGUUAACAACAUGGACUGGACUAAUAGAAGACUAAAGUAAUCUUCUUGACUUUUUGCUUAAAAGGAUCCUCUGUUUUGUUUUUCAGAGCCAAUAAAACUUUUCUUUUGAGUGAUUUGCAGCUUUUAACAAGUAAGUAAAAUAUACUCCUGUGAACAAAAUUUGGAGCAUAUUUGUUUCUCUCUACCUGAUUUCUCCAGAAUUUGGAAACUAUUCGUGAGUAUUCUUAACUUAUGACAAUACAGUUAUUUGCAUAAGUGCAAUAAGAAUGUUUUCUUCUGUAACAGGACAAAAUAAAAGAAACCAGUUAUUUUACCAAGGCUUUGACUGGAAUGGCUUGCUUUCCUUUAAGGAAUCGAAUUUGGCUUACAGGGCCAAUAAAAGCCCCUUGGGAAAACUGGCCUCAUACCCUGUCUACACUGUCCUGUACAGGGUUCCUGACCUGUAGUAAAUAAAGAAUGUCACUUUCUAACAGGCCCAGGAGCCCUAGGUUAUCUUGGGACCUCGAAAAAAGAGGAAUUUACCUAACUGAUAAAUAUUUGAUAGUACAAACCUAUGGCUAGGCUUGGCUUUGGAAAAAAGCCUUAUCUGAGAUUCCUUUUGUGGAACAAAGUCCAAUCAAAGCCAAUUUAAAAAGCCUAUGUGAAAAAUGAUUAUUUUUGCUGUACUUUACACAAAUAAUCAGGCUAAGUGUAAGACUAUGGCGUAUUUUUGCAAACAAAUCAGCCCUGUUAGGAUUUGUCUUUAGUAAAAAUGGGAGAAUGGAGAGAUAGAAAAAACAUAUUUUAAAAACAAUGGUACACUUGUUAUAAAAUUGUGAUCUCAUCAGUUAUUUUUGAGUUUUCUUUCUACGAUUUAGACUGAACCUGCUUAUUUCUGUGAACCAACCAGUGAUCUCUUAUGGCUGUUCAAAAGUAAAAAGAGAGAUAUCACCUUUUGUCAUAACUCAAGUCUUAUGAAUGGCCCUCACCAUAACGAUGCUUUUUGACUGAGCUCUUCUCUAACCUGAAUGCAAGAGGUUAGGCAUGAAUAUCAUCCCCCCUGUUCAGCCUGAAGAAGUUACAGAAGAUGAAUCUUCCUCUCUCUACAGCCCUUAGGAUUAAGGGUUCUCUUACUGAAUGUAUUCUUAAAUUGAACACUUAUUAAUCUUCCAGAUAUCACCUUUUGUCAUAACUCAAGAGUUAUGAAUGGCCUUCACCAUAAUGAUGCUUUUUGACUGAGCUCUUCUCUAACCUGAAUGCAAGAGGUUAGGCAUGAAUAUCAUCCCCCCUGUUCAGCCUGAAGAAGUUACAGAAGAUGAAUCUUCCUCUCUCUACAGCCCUUAGGAUUAAGGGUUCUCUUAUAAAAGGGAGGGGGUAAAUAUGUCAGAGGCAUUUGAACCAGAGAAACUCCAUCUUGAAUAGUCCCUGUGUAAAAUAAGACUGAGACCUACUGGGAUGCAUUCCCAGGAGGUUAGGCAUUCUAAUUCACAGGAUGAGAUAAGAAGUCUCCACAAGAUACAGAUUAUAAAGAUUUGGCUGAUAAAACUGUUUGUGAUAAAGAAGCUGGCCAAAACACACCAAAACCAAGAUGCCAACAAAAGUGUCCUCUGGUUGUCCUCACUGCUCAUUAUAUGCUAAUUAUAAUGCAUUAGCAUGUUAAAAGACACUCCCACCAGUGCAAUGACAAUGUACAAAUGCCUUGGCAACAUCAAGAAGUUACCCUAUGUGGUUUAAAAAUGGUAGGAACCCUCAGUUCUGGGAAUUGCCCACCCCUUUUCUGGAAAACUCAUGAAUAAUCCACCCCUUAUUUAGCAUAUAAUCAAGAAAUAACUGGAAGUAUCCUUAGUGAAGCAGCCCAAGCCACUACUCUUCCUAUGGAGUAGACAUUCUUUCAUUAGUUAACUUUAUUAAUAAACUUGCUUUCACUUUGUA